rnacentral:rRNA from 1 species
UACGGGGGGUGCGAGCGUUAUCCGGAAUCAUUGGGCGUAAAGAGUUCGUAGGCGGUAUGUAAAGUCAGGUGUUAAAGGCGCAGGCUUAACUUAUGUAUGGCACUUGAUACUUGCAAACUAGAAUGCGGUAGAGGUAGAGGGAAUUCCCGGUGUAGCGGCGAAAUGCUUAGAUAUCGGGAGGAACAUCGGUGGCGUAAGCGCUUUACUGGGCCGUAAUUGACGCUGAGGAACGAAAGCCGGGGUAGCAAAU